AUUCUGAUGGGGGUAGUGGUGUCCACAUCCAGUGCCUGCGAUGUACAGAGCUGCAGUUUCCACACUUCGCAGUCGUGACUUUUCUAUGUCAGGAAUUUGGGAGCUGCUUGGCUGGGCAGCAAUUCUGGCUCAAGGUCUUUCAUGCGAUUGCAGUCAAGAUGUCUACCAGGGCUACAGUCAUCUGAAGGCUUGGCUGGGGCUGGAGGAUCUGCUUCCAAGCUCUUCUCCCUGCAGCAAAUUCACAGUUAAUCAAGCAAGUUCUUAGUAACUGUCCACCUUUGAUAAUUUAAGGACUCCCCUACCUUGAGGCAUGGUAUAAACUAGAUGUUCUCUCAAGUUCUUUUUGACGCUGCACGUAUACCUAUAUCUGUAUGAACAUUUAUUCAUUUAUGUUAAAUUAUAUGUAACUAUAUAGCAUAUUUUAGCCCCAAAUACUUUUCUCCCAGUAAUUAUGUUUC
rnacentral:lncRNA from 1 species